rnacentral:rRNA from 1 species
GCUUGUCUCAAAGAUUAAGCCAUGCAUGUCUAAGUAUAAACUGCUUAUACUGUGAAACUGCGAAUGGCUCAUUAAAUCAGUUAUAGUUUAUUUGAUGGUACCUUCUACUCGGAUAACCGUAGUAAUUCUAGAGCUAAUACGUGCGUAAAACCCGACUUCUGGAAGGGUCGUAUAUAUUAGAUAAAAGGCCGACCGAGCUUUGCUCGACCCGCGGUGAAUCAUGAUAUCUUCACGAAUCGCACGGCCUUGUGCCGGCGAUGUUUCAUUCAAAUUUCUGCCCUAUCAACUUUCGAUGGUAGUCGCCGUGCCUACCAUGGUGACCACGGGUGACGGGGAAUCAGGGUUCGAUUCCGGAGAGGGAGCCUGAGAAACGGCUACCACAUCCAAGGAAGGCAGCAGG